rnacentral:lncRNA from 1 species
GUUGUCACAGAACUCUACCACUAGCAGUAAGAGACUCACAAAGCAUAGAAAAGUUGACCAGAGAGCAAUUAAAUAGAGCUAUGAAGUGCUGAUGCUAAGCAGUUAUGAGAACUCUUCAACCAAAGAGACAGCUAUUGGGAUACAAUCUGUAGAAGAAAAAAAAAGUGGCCACACAGUCCCAUAUUCUGAUGAUAGGCUGCUGGCUGCAGUGCUGUUUCCAACUGUUUCCUGGUCCUCCCUGCUUUGCCAGUGGCCAUAGUGAACUUGCUGAUGGACGUAAAUGCAACUUGAAGGAGUUUGUUUAUAUGGUGAGUUACAUUCAUUGAUUUACAUGUGUUGAACCAACUCAACAUUCUGGGGUGAAGACUACUUAAUCAUGGUGGAUGAUCUCUUUGAUGUGUUCUUGAAUUUUGUUUGAGUCUCAGAUGAUGAUGCAGGCUGUCCAGGAGACAGUGAUCAGAAUCAGUUCCAGAAUGGGGAAGACAAUCUCCAGGAUGAGCACCAAAUGGGCCAAUGGAAUUCCUGUCCUUUAUAAAGGUCUUAGUUGUCUUUGGUGAGGUAGACCAGAAAGCCUAGCAGGGCUACAAGGAGGAUGGUGAUGCAAAUGGUGUGGGUGGCCUACAGUUCUUGAGGCAGAGCCAGCAGAAGACUCUGUAGUGAGCCAUGCUCUGGACCAGGCAGGACAUAUACAAUCCUUCUGUGCCAGCGAGCAUGGCACAAAUGCAACUGCUGAGGCAGUCACCUUCCUCAAGUGUGGGUGCUGGAAAUUCACCUAGCUAAGUAGUGUCAGGAUCAUGCUUGGGAUUUUCAAAGCAAUGGAGACCUGCAAAGCUUGAGUGUAUAAAAAGGAAAAUAACCUGUGGGCUAGGUUGAAGAUGGAGGUAGGCAUCAUUCAACCAUCAUGUGCCUAAUUGAUGAAGCAGAAGAGACUCUGCUCUGCACAGCCUUCUCAAGGGGAAUGCUCUAGUGACCUGCUUUUUCAAGAUUCCAGGAGUAAGGAGGUUGGUGUGGUGGCAGUGGUAAGCCUGCUUACUCAUUUAGGGGACCUGGUGACUAAGGCAUGGCCCCUAGAGUCUAAAAGAGCUGUUCUGACCUUUGAUAUUUUACUUAACCUUUCUGGGCCUCAGUUUCCUACCCUACAAGAUAAAGGCAGCAAGAUUACAUUUUAUUUAUUUAAUUUGAACGUGUAUGGGUCUUUUACUGUAUGUAUCUAUGCUUGCACCUCAUGUGUGCAGUGCCAUGUAAGCCAGAAGAGGGUGUUGAAACCCCUGGAAAUGGAUUACAGAUUGUUGUUGUAAGCUACAAUGUGGGUGCUGGAAACCAAACCUGGCCCCAAGGAAAAGCAACUGGUGCCCUUAACUGCUGCUUUAUCUUCUUUAUCUUUCCAGCCCCAGCAAGAUUGCUUUUUUUUUCUCUCUGGUCUUUUCAGACAGGGUUUCUCUGUGUAGCCUUGGCUGUUCUGGAACUCACUCUAUAGACUAGGCUGGCCUCAAACUCACAGAGAUCCAUCUGCCUCUGCUUCUCAAGUGCUGGGAUUAAAGGCAUGUGCCACCACCAAGACUGCAUUUUAAUGUAUACAUUUAAUCAUAUCCUAAGAAGUGUAUUAAGCAGUACAUGAUAAAUCCUAAAUAAAUACUGUGAACUGUCUUAAUUAUUGUUGUUUUGCUGCUAUAUCCCCUGGACCCCUAAGAAACUUCGGUUGAUUCUUCUGAUGAGUUGUUUCAUGGCUGAGCUCCCUUCCAACUUCCUGCCAACCACAAUAUCUCCCACCACCCAUGGACUGGAACAUCUGUAGGAUGGUAUCCAGGUGGGAAUCAUUGCAAUCCAUGCUGGGAUUUUAGACUAUUAGCAUAUUCAACAAUGCAUUACCAUUACCAAGGCAUUAGUUACAAGUAGUAUUGAGUAGUGCUUGCAGUCAAUGACUGCCAGUGUUCCUAAUGAGAGAGAGGAUAUCCAUGGAAGUUGCAGUGGUUUCCUCUAUAGCUUAUCAGAGCCCCUGUGACUGAGAUCAGAGUUGGGUUACAUUUUUUUAUUUCUUGCACUUGAAGCACUUCCUGUGGGCUGAUUCCUUAACAUCCAGAAGGGAAGGUGGGUCUGGUGUCUAUUACAGAGAUAGCUGCGGCUGUAGAGAUGCUCUAAGAAGAAAAAAAUAUUGAGUGGUCUGAUUUCCCACUGGAAGAGGAAACUGAUGAGUCAGCAUAAAGGAAAAUAUCAAAUAGCAAUUUUGUUCUUCAAGACAAUCCCAGUGCUAAUGAAGGUGUGUUCUCUGGGUUGUUCAGUUUUCAGUUAUCUACUCAUAAGCCUCUCUGCCCCUUCAUAUGAUACUUUUAUGUAUUUGCUAUGUUUUCUAAUGUUCCUUCUAGACUGUCUUUUAUGGCUAAUGGGACAUUUUAUGACAUUGUGGGCAUGACAGAAGAAUGUUACCAGGUUGAUUCUUCCAUGAGGAUGGGAUAGCAUGGGACAGGACAUUUGGUUUGUAGCAUUUCCAAAAGUUCCUUCACUGCCUGUCUUAGUUAGGGUUUCUAUUGCUAUGAAGAGAAACCAUGGCUGCGGCAGCUCUUAUAAAGGAAAACAUUUAUUCAGGGCUGGCUUACAGUUUCAGAGGUUGGUCCAUUAUCAUCAUGGUGGAAAAUGGCAGCAUGCAAGCAAGCCUGUUGCUGGAGAGGUAGCUGAGAGUUGUACAUUGGGAUCAGCAGACAGCAGGAAGAGACAGGGCCUGGCUUUUGCUUCUGGAGACUUUAAAGCCCACUAUCAGUGACAGGAGUUCUCCAACGACACCACUCCUGCUUAUUCAGGCCACACCUCCUAAUAGUGUUACUCCCACAUGCUGGUAGACAGAGGUGAAGAGCAAGACAAGCUGUGGCAAAUCCUUUCCCCCCCAGUUUUUGAAUGCAAGCAAAGGCUCAUCCCUGCCUUUUCUUCUGUGUGUCUCUGGUGUCAUCCAGCCUGCUCUUAAGUCUUUGUUUUUGCUUUCCACAUGAUUUCUGAGGAUGGUGAAGAAUUCUGACUCCAGUCUUCUCUAGGAUACAAUUUCGACAACUUUGGGUCAAGCACAUCUUGAUCGAGGGGAGCACAGGCUCUUCUGUCUUACUCAGAAAUAUGGACUUCAAAGAUGCCCUGUUCUGCACCAAAGGAGGGUGCAAUUAAGUAGCAAGGCCAUCUGUAAGUUUUUAUAAAAAGCCAGCAACUCUCUGGGGACUUCGGAGAGCCACAAUUUCUGAGUAAAGAAAGGGUCAUUUGAGGACUAUCUGAUGAAAAGGAAAGUAAAAGUGGUAAGUCAGGUAGAGCCAUAGACUGUCAAAGGCCUAGAUGAUCCAGCUGUCUCCUGGUGCUGCAUGGAGUUCUUCUAGCAUAGAUGCCAUUCACUACAUCACUGAGCUGGGCAAGAAGACUGAGGUGCCAUAAAAAGACAGACAGGCAUUUCUGAAGGAACAAGAUGUUUACUUUCCAUGUGAACUAGAGCACAAUAUCAAUAUUUGUAUUUCAAGUGCUUGUUUGGGAGCACAUAUUCAUUCCCCCUUCCGUUAAGGCAGGUGACCAUGGAGUGCCAGGGCUUAGCAAAACCUCACAAAACAAUAGGAGGAACUGGUGCACUUUCAUGUCUGAUUAUUGCAUUUUGUGAACACAGGGCUCUGAUCUCCCAAGGAGUUUCUAAGCCAAAGGUGUGUCAUGUUUGAGCUGGCUAACUAACCAGAACUGUAUUUCCACACUGUCUAUGUGAAUCAUGAGUUAGUAUGACAGACCAGUUUAUUGCUUUGGGGUGGGAUGGGAGUGGAGCCAUAUUGCAGUGUUCUGGUACCUAAUUUAAUUUUGUGGUUACACAGAAGCAGAACUGCAAGAUGUCAUUUUGUCUGAUUCUGCAGUUUAAGAGGAAGGAACUGUGAUUCAGAAGGCAGUGGCUUGCUCAUGGGUUUUAGAAAACAAAUCAAGCAAGAAACAUGAUCACUGCUUAGGUCACUGAUUUGCUGCUUGUUUUGAUUGUAUUCUAGUUAGGCCCCAUCGUGUGCAUUGAUCCUAGCAGAGGCUUUCUGCCUUGUUUUCAUCUCAGAGCCGUUCUCCAUCGAGGAUUCUUCCAGGCCUUAACUCCUUUCCAGGUCUUACCUCUUGCCUUUUCAGUUCACCUCGUAAGAUGAUACAGAAUCCUGUUUUUAAACAAUCCUUUGUAUCUUUUAUUUUUUAAAAAGACCUAGAUUAAACAAGGGGUUAUUAAGGCUUUGCUCUUGAGUAUGUAUGGCUUCCAAGAAAUCAGAAGACAUCUAAUGUGAAACUUCUUUAUUGAGCCAAUUGGACUUACUAUUUCUAUCUAAAAUUAUCUGACGCUAUACUAUACACAUAUUGACUUCUAUCAUUUGAAAUGAUCUUAAUUACUGUUUCAGUUGUUUGAAAGCUGCAAGAAGGCACUGCAAGUUGACAAAGGGACUUCGAGGAAUGAAAAGUCUGGAGAGGAAGUAGAGAAUUGUGAAAUGCCAUUGUAGAGAGACUGAUAAACAGCUCUAGUGGCUCUGCUGGGAGACCUCAGGACCCAUGUGAGGCAGAACAGCUGCAAGUUGGAAGAGCAUCUUCCUGCAGGUGGCUCUCCCUUCACGACCCACUCUGUCCUUCUAAUUGUUUCUUUGGUGCCCUUUCCUUCUCUUUCAUUACUUAAUAUAUUUUUACUUUUAGGCGCACAUACCAGUUGUUCAUAUAUGGGUAUGUUGUGACCUUUCAAUAAAGAACAGG